CCUCAUCUCCUUGGCCCGCUUUUCACCUUCCCGAAUUUAUCUCCGCAGAUCCCUCGUCCCGAUUGUGAACUUGGCAGCGACUGCUCGGCGUGAAUAACCCCAGUGGCCACUAACCAGGAACACCUGCUGGCCCCGUUACCCGGAACGGGAGGAGAAGAUGGGCAUCUCCAGCGGAAUUCCACCGCGGAAUAUGGAAGUGUUUAAAGGAAGACCUUCCCCGCUCGGGGUAGCAGAGAUCUGAACCUUUAAAUUGCAGCCAUCCCCGGCCUGACGAUAACUUUUCUUGAAGCCAUGGCAGGAGCUGUGCUCGAAAUGGUGCCGUGGGAGUUGGUAUCCCAGGUCAGGAGACCAGACAUCAAAUCCUUGGUGCACCUUGGCAGCUGGGAACGCUCCACAAAGCAGGAAUGCUCCAGCAAACCCUGCCAAAGCAGCUGCUGGGAGCACACCACCAAAGGCUCCAGAACUUUCUACACCAGGCUUCCAACUUUCAUCCUCAGAUCUGCACCCUGAUGGAUUUUUAAAUGGUCCACGAGGAGCAGGAUUUCACGUCUGUGAUCAGGUUGCCCCUACCAGCAGGGUGGGCUGGACUCGGAGGUUUUAGGUAGACCCCAGCACCAAAAAAACUACAUCAGACACAGCUCUUGGAGGGCCUCCAAAAGAAUAAACUCAUUUGCAAUUAGAGUUUAUUUUCUCA
rnacentral:lncRNA from 1 species